GAAAAAUAGGAACUUUUCCGAUUUAGAAAUUAAAGUUUCACCUUGAAAAGCGGGAUCAAAGGAUGUGGAAAAACUGUUUGGAAAGAGAUCGCUGUGGUCAACAACGUUAGUGUAGUAAACCGAACCCCAGCGGAGAUCUUUCAGAAGCAGGAUCAGCGUUCUUCAACCCCCACAAACCGGCCUGGAACCUGCCACACAAAGCCAAGAUUCAGAUAGCAAGACCUUCAUACUGAAGUCUGGAACUUAUCGCCGCCUUCUUUGGAAAUCCCACCGAAGAGGCCAUAUAACUGACAGGCGGACCAUUAAAGAACGUGACACGGAUGUCUCCCGAAUAUCCUGUGAAAUGCAACCAAUCAGAUGACGACUUUGAACGUGCUGAAGUGCUUGCAUAAAAGUGUGCCUGAGACUACACAAAGUCAGGCAACCGCGAGCUGUUACCCAGUGCGGGUCUUCCACCCCAUCGAACAUUGCAGAUUGCACAAAAAAAACAUCAAA